CCCCUGAUGGCCUAGUUGGAUAUGUCGUCUGACUGCAAUGGGAAUAUACCACUAUUAUAAGAAGAUCGCUGGCUAUUCCGGCUCCGGGGA